CCGGUGUCAGGAGCACGCUCACGGAGCAGACCCGAUCCUCGUGUUUGUGUGCCGAGCCCCCUGCCAAAGCCUGCUGACCGAACUGCUCACAGCACGAACGGGAUUCAGCCGGGCAGCCCGAGCCCUGGCACAGGCUGCUCAUGCCAAUGACGGUUUCCCCUAACAUUCCUCAGCUGCUCGUCAUGCUCCCCUUCAACAGAGUAGAGGAAAUAAACCCUGAUACCCAAAUAUAGUUAUGAACUUCACCUCGAUACUUCACAUGUAGCUACAAGGAGCACAGCAGAGCUGCUUGGCAGGCUCCCUAAUGAAGCAAAACACUUUGUAAUGUGGUAGCUUAAUGAAGUGAGAAAGGGAGAGGAUCUCACAGGUUACUGGCUUUUUACAAAAUGUUUAAUCAUGAACCAUGUAAUUUACAUCAGGCAGUGAUAUAAAGCAUCCUCUUUAAUACAGAAAUGUUACCGCCCACGAUCGAGGCCAAGUGGGAAAUGUCAGAUGGGUUUCAGAAGUGCAGUCAGCCUAAUGCAAUAAUAAUGCAUGACACUUUGACAGUGUCUCUCACUAGAUCAGCUCAGCAUGCUUUCCAGGCAUAAAUGAGAUCACUCCUUCUAUUUAUUAUUUCAGUAGAUGUGAGGAAACUGAGGCAUAGAGGCUGGUUUUUGAUGUGGCUCACUCAAGGACAAACAGUUGGGACUACAUCCCAGAUAUUCUGAGUUGAAAAUAAUUUCUUCUCUGAGCUAUUAUAUCAGAAUACAGAAUCUCAGCUCUUGAAAUGGUCCCCUGUUGCUAUCGAGAAGAUGGCUUUCCACAUGCCUCUGUCACUCCCUCAUGUGCCAGUGCUGCUGCUCAGGGAGAACAGCACUUGCUGACAAUUGAGAAUCAAAAAGUAUCCCAGGCCUGACACAGAAAUUGCUACAAACAAGCUGAUCAUACUUCCGAAUAAGUGAUCACAUAUUGAGUAGGAACUGAAUGCCAGAAAUAAAAAAUACAGAAAAAUAUGUUAAGAUUUCAUAAUGUGGCAAACCCUCUGUUUGGGGGUUUAUCUCACUGAAGGAGGUGAUAUGGAGAGAGAAGUGACAAUGUAUAUCUAAGCAGCUGUCUGAUAACUUGAUAGAGCAUGGAAAUGCAGUCAACUGCUUCUAGCAAAUUCAGUUUCUUCCAUCUAUGGAAAUAAAAAACCUACAUAUGAGAAAUGAAGCAACAGCAGUAAUUUACUGUAAUUUACUUUCAAUGUAAAAAUAUAAAUAUGUCAAGCACUAUUAAUACAUUUAUAUGACAUAUA